UCUUGGCCCGUUGUUUCAGGUGUCUCACGCCGCGGUGCGUGAGGUGAAACGGGAAGCCGGUUCGAGUCCGGCGCUGCCCCCGCAACGGUAAGCGAAUGCCAGGAUCGUUUUGGCCACUGUGCGCACGCAUGGGAAGGCCGAUCCCCAUCGCCGCAAGGUGAUCAUCGCGAGCCCGGAGACCGGCCUGGAUCCUCUGUUUGGC
rnacentral:ncRNA from 2 species